rnacentral:rRNA from 1 species
GGACGAACGCUGGCGGCGUGCUUAACACAUGCAAGUCAGGGGGCGGGGUAACCCGUCACCGGCGAACGGGUGCGGAACACGUGAGCGACCUGCCCUGGUGUGGGGGAUAGCCGGCCCAACGGCCGGGUAAUACCGCAUACGGCGCCCGCUUGGAAGCGGGAGGCGAAACUCGCAAGAGGCGCUAGGAGGGGCUCGCGGCCUAUCAGCUAGUUGGUGCGGUAACGGCGCACCAAGGCGAUGACGGGUAGCUGGUCUGAGAGGAUGGCCAGCCACAUUGGGACUGAGAGACGGCCCAGACUCCUACGGGAGGCAGCAGUGGGGAAUAUUGCGCAAUGGGCGAAAGCCUGACGCAGCGACGCCGCGUGGAGGAUGAGGCCCUUCGGGGUGUAAACUCCUGUUGCCCGGGACGAAUGCCCCGCAGCGGCGGGGUUGACGGUACCGGGUGAGGAAGCACCGGCUAACUCUGUG